rnacentral:rRNA from 1 species
UACGUAGGGUGCAAGCGUUGUCCGGAAUUAUUGGGCGUAAAGAGCUCGUAGGCGGUUCGUCACGUCGGCUGUGAAAUCCCGAGGCUCAACCUCGGGUCUGCAGUCGAUACGGGCUAGCUAGAGUGUGGUAGGGGAGAUCGGAAUUCCUGGUGUAGCGGUGAAAUGCGCAGAUAUCAGGAGGAACACCGGUGGCGAAGGCGGAUCUCUGGGCCAUUACUGACGCUGAGGAGCGAAAGCGUGGGGAGCGAACAGG